GGUGUCGCGCCAGUGGUUUUACCCUAUGGUAGGUUAGGUCAUGCUGUUCUACCACAGGGUAGAACCACGGACGGGAUGC
rnacentral:pre_miRNA from 1 species